rnacentral:rRNA from 1 species
ACUCAAAGGAAUUGACGGGGGCCCGCACAAGCGGUGGAGCAUGUGGUUCAAUUCGACGCAACGCGAAGAACCUUACCUGGGCUUGAACUGCAGGUGACCGGUCUGGAAACAGGCCUUUCCCUCAAGGACACCUGCAGAGGUGCUGCAUGGCUGUCGUCAGCUCGUGUCGUGAGAUGUUGGGUUAAGUCCCGCAACGAGCGCAACCCUUGCCCCUAGUUGCCAUCGGGUCAUGCCGGGCACUCUAGGGGGACUGCCCCGGAAAACGGGGAGGAAGGUGGGGAUGACGUCAAGUCAUCAUGGCCUCUAUGUCCAGGGCUACACACGUGCUACAAUGGACGGCACAAAGGGCUGCGAACCCGCGAGGGGGAGCCAAUCCCACAAAUCCGUCCUCAGUUCGGAUUGCAGUCUGCAACUCGACUGCAUGAAGUUGGAAUCGCUAGUAAUCGCGGAUCAGCACGCCGCGGUGAAUACGUUCCCGGGCCUUGUACACACCGCCCGU